CCAAGGCACUUAAAAAUAAGUCAUAGAUGUAUCAUUCGGGUUCCUUUGCUAGAACUCAGAUGAUGCACAUGUGAGUCAUUUGCUUCGAAUGCAUUAAACAAAUGGAAUCCAAAAAUAUAAAAAUCUGUUUUACAUUUCAAAUAUGAAUUCUCUAUUUUGAAUACUUUUAUAUAGUUACACACACGCACGCGCGCGCGCGCACAGAGAGAGAGAGAGAGAGACAGAGAGACAGAGAGACAGAGAGACAGACAGGCAGACAAGCAGGCAAGCAGGCAGGCAGGCAGGCAGGCAUGCAGGCAGGCAGGCAGGCAGGCAGGCAGGCAGACGGACAGAUGGAUCGACAUACAGACAAGAGUUUAUUUAUAACAAAUGAAACAAAGACAUUUUUCAAAAUAUUGCAAAUUUCCAGUGUUUCAAGCAUUGAAGCAUGAAAAUUAAAGUACUCUUUACAUGCUGCAAGAGAUCUCAUUCGGGAAGUAAAAAUAGAAUCGUGGGCUGAUUCGGCAAGCUUGCUUGGUUUGAACAAGUUGCAGUGUAAAUCCAAAUAGCAACGAACACGGUGGUUUUUGGAGCGUCUGAUCGUAAUUUUAAAUAAUAUCUAUCAAGAGUGAAUUUGUCGAAGUUGCGAAAUACAUUAUCGAUAAUAUUAUUUCUAUAUAUAAAACAUAUUCAAAUGUAUUGCAAUGAAAUUUGUAAUGACACGUCAAAUUAUGCUCUCGGUGGUGAUCAGUAGAAUACGAAUAAACGAGCGUAAAACAGCGUAACAAAAUUAAUUGUAAGCCAAACGAGAGAUAUCUCAAUAAAUAAGGGCUGAAAGAAUCGACGUGGUGAUAAUUUUUUAUGGAUGAGGGAAAAGUGUAUGUGUACCUUCUCGCACAGAGAUUUUACUUGGCUUUCUGUUAGUUGUUGGCAGUUAUUUAAUUGUUCUAUCCACUGAUCGAGUUCCUUCAACGACGCCUUUUCCUCCAUCGUACAAAUCUACGUAUGAAGUCUACGGAUAGCCCGCACUCUUAGCACAUGUAAUAAAAGUAAAGCGAGUCCGUCCCGUAAACUAAAUCAUUCGGUUUUACUGGAAAAGCUUCGUAACACAAAUAUCCCGAUCCAGCACACACUCACAAAAUGGCCGAUUGCGAGUACGGACGGUGACGUCACAUUAAAUUCAUGCGUGCUUCACUAGCUAUAACCUAGAUUAUUGUGCCGGCCAAUCGCGUUCUGCAUUUAACCCGCUUUUACCAAUCAGAAGUCGAGUUUGC
rnacentral:misc_RNA from 1 species